UAAAGCACCUGUUCCCGUAUAAUCAUGGAAGUUAAGUAACGUCGAGCCUGGUCAGUACCUAGAUGGGUGACUCCUUGGAAAUACCAGGUGCU